UGAAUUCUCACCUGUCCCUGCCUCCU
rnacentral:piRNA from 1 species